CCAAGUUUUCAAAGGGAAAAAAAAAUACACACGAUAUUCAUUGUCAACAUAUUUUACUAAACUAACUGAAAUUCAGGAAAUCUAGUACAAAACGGUAAUAUCCUAGAAAUGAAGUACUUAACAGUACUAAAGCAUCAACUAUACAUUCAGUGCAUCAACCAUUCAGGAAAUCUAGUACAAGUUUACAAUAUUUUAUUAACAUUAGUGAAGAACAAGACCAUGAACAAGUCGAACACAAGAAAGCCCUUGAGUGGUGUACGCAUUCUCUGCCUCCUUCCUAUCCCGUUGCUCUCUCUAUUUGUUUUUAACAUCUCUUCCCUUGGAUGCUGCUGAAGUUGGCACGGUAGCAACAAGUGUUAGUACAAGAACUUUAACAACGUCAAUUUUCUCAAAGAAAAGCUAAUAGAAGCCAAGGAGGUAACAUUGUAGAAAUUAUGCACAAAACUACAUUAAUGUAGCAUUCUGAUAGUUAGACAACAAUUGUAAAUAUAUAAGUUGAUUUAUCUGCAUGGAAUACUCAAAUCUACACUAAAUAACGAAUUUAAAAUUGAAACAAUAUGAUGGGAAUAAGUUUCUGAACUAAGAAAAUCCAUGCUUCCCUAGCCUAAGCCUGGUCUAGUCAAUGAUUUUUGCAACUUUCUAUUUAAUUGUCUCCCUAUAAUUCCACAUUGUUCUUCAAAUGAACCAGUUUAGACUUGUCACAAUAAGGUGUAAGCACAAAAAACUG
rnacentral:lncRNA from 1 species